ensembl:lncRNA
CCAGAGUCAGAGAGACUGAGAGGGAUAAGCAAACCCAUGAGAACCAUCAUGAAACUUACAGAAAGAGCUUCAGAUUCUAUAACUCAACCUGGGUUUCAGCGUGAAUAACAGCUCAGACAGGCUGGUGCAAGAAGUCCAACCCUGAGAGACCCCUGUGGAGGUCUAUAUUCCACACAUCAGAAAGGGAGGGCUGGAAGAGGAGUGGGGUUGGGGGGAUGGACCAGCCCCACAGCCAGACCAGGUCUGGGGGCUCCAGGGGGGCCUGGUAAUUAGAUGCCUCUUCAGUCAGACAUUCUGUAGUCAUUUAGAGAAGAGUCUGGGCAGGAGACCCAGGUUUGAUCCCUGGGUCGGGACGAUCUCCAGGAGAAAGAAAUGACCAUCCACUCCAGUAUUCUUGCCUGAAAAAGAAGCCCGGUGGGCUAUACUCCAUGAGGUCACAAAGAGUCGGACAUGACUUAGCAACAAAACCACUAACACUGAUCCAUGUGGGGGAUGGCUGAGAUGGAGAACGCGGAGAGCAGAGCUGUAUCCCCUUCCUUCCUCAAGCAGCCCCGGCUCAGGCUUGCAUCUCCUCCAGUUAACCUGACCCACCUUUCCAGCCCAGAAGGCAACACUUAUCUGCUGUUACUCUGGAAAUGGUGUUAAGGUCUCCCCACCUGCACCCACUCUUGGUGAUUUAUCAGAGUAUGCCUGUGUUCCUUUACCUCCAUGGAGUCCUGGAAGAAUAUACAGAAUGUUCUCCGUUCCCUUAGGUUUACUGCUGCUUUCUGGGCACUCCUUGUUGCAGGGACUGGAGACAGUAGAUUUGCCUUUUGACCUGGCUCUGUGCCCAGUCAGGCUCUUCUCUCUCCCGGCAGCCUCUAUAGUUAAAGCAGAGAUGAGCAUUCAUUAGAACAGUAAAUCUGACUCUGAGGAGAUCAGGCCAUGCAACAAGAAAACACAGACCUUGGCACUUCGUUCACAUAACCCGCAGCUAUCUUCAAAGGAGGCAUCAUUCCGAAGAGACCUCUGGUACCCAGAGCAGUCCAUGGAGAGCCUGUGACUGCGGCUGCACAGAGAUGCAGGCGAGGAUGGGACAGGAUGGCAGACUCAUCUCACCUGACAGACCGCCCACUGGGUGCAGACCCAGAUACCUGUAUGGAGCUGGCAGUUCCUGCCCAGGCUUGGGCACCGACCUUCCAUAUAGCCACAGCAAGCUCCAAAGCUGGACUGGAGUUAAAAGCAGACAUGCAAGUCCUUUUGUGGGUUUAAGUCCUUUGUUGGGUUUAAGCUUUGGCCUGGGCCUCCUGGGUGAGCAGCAAGAGGUGGGCGGAGAGGCAAGUGCCCUGCAGCCUGGGCUCUGAUGCCAGGACAGCCCACGGCAAGGGCUGGCAGCACAAUUCCUGUCUCCUGCUGCUCACCACAUUCCCAGAGUCAUUUUCCAUGUGUUUAUGAUGGAGGAAUCACUGGCUGUGGAACAGUCACUGUCUUGCAAACAAAGCAUUAUGUUUGGAGGUGAGAGGCAAAACAAAUAGCAGGCACUUUAAAAUCUGGCUCUUGUAAUGCAUCUGUAGCAAACUUCCCAGGUAUGGGGCGAUUGGAGUUUCUGGAGCCCAGCAGGAAGCUGCUGGAUUAAAGACAUUUGCACAGGAAAGAGAAUAGUCAUCCUGGUUUAGAUGAGCAGCACACAUCUAGCUCUGGGAAGCCUGGAGCGUGUGCCUUGCAAGCAAACAGCAGUGCCUGUUUGAGCACCGAGAAAGCUGAAUACAGGGCUUUUAAAAAUGAAAUGAUCAUACCCACUGCUUUCAAGAACUAGAGCAAGAAACGAUAAGGUUAUUUUUAACUCAGUUAUUUGCUCACUGCUGAUGAAGCACACGCCUCCUUGCACCCAGGUGGAUGUAGACAGAAAGCAGUAGAGAGAAAGCUGGGCAGGAUGGAGGGAGAUUAGGACCAUAGGCCUUGGACCACAGGUCAAGCUGUCUGCAUUUGCAUCUGACCCCUCAACUUUCUAUCUUUGCAAUCCUCUGAUAUUGUUUCUGAUCUGAAGCCCCAAAGGGCUUUCGUGAAGAUUAAAUGAGAUCCACAGAAAAUGCUUG